GUAUAUAUUCCACACAUUCUUUAAAUUGGAACGAUACAGAGAAGAUUAGCAUGGCCCCUGCGCAAGGAUGACACAUAAAUUCAUGGGUACAUUUUAGAAAUAU